AAUGGUAGAGCGUCCUAAGUGAGCAAGUAGAGGAAGCCAGAAAAGCUGUUUUUACUCAAAACAGAUGGUUCAUUUUCUGUCUUGAACAGCAAUUACCUGUUUCUUUCAAAGCAAGUUUAGUAGCUUUCAUGUUAGGGGUGGUAUCACCUUCAGCUUUUGCUUUAUCUACCUGCUUUAGAACAUACAAAACUAAGCAGUAAUUAAGAUAUCAAUCCUGAAUCCAGUAAAACACUUAAACACAGUAUGAAGCUGAGGUGUAUAUUAGUCCCAUGGCAAUCAACGAGCUAUUGAUUUCAUUAAAAUUUAACAGGCAUUUGAAUGCACCGGACUGAGACCUCCCAGACACUUUUAUUUACUAAUUCCCCAAAGUGCUUAACAACUCCUGCACUGUGUCCUCCUCCCAGGCAAUGUCUGCCUGCUGAUCCGUGUCCGGGCUCACAUAACCUGCACACGUCAUCACUAAAACAUGUCCUCACCUGUGGGUUAUUGCCCUCUCACAUCAUGCUCAUGAGAGCUCCUCUCUACCUUUCACAGCUAAAAUGAGGCAGGGUUUACCUGAACCGUUUAAGCACAGCAGAGACCUUGCUAAACCAGCUCACUUUGACUGAUGGAGGUCGAGGAGUCAGCACUGAGCCAACAGACUGGGGAGGAUGGCAGCUUCUGUCUUGGCAAAGGUGGUGGAAAUGGCAGCAUCCCCAUCUCGUGGGGCUGAGCCAGCAGAGAGGAGCCCCAGGGAGGGGCAUGUGAGCUGCCAAACUGAAAUAUCUCCAGAAAGCUUUAACGUGUGUUUGAUCCGAAGGUCAUGGGAAUAAAACACAGAUCAUUCUUUCUCUAGGGCAGAGAGUGCCUUCACUCCGCUCUGUAAUUUGCUUUGUGUCAAAAAUUGGCAGUAGUUCCUAAAAGGCGGAGAGGGGAUGUGGGCACCCGCAUCUGCAGGUGUAAACACAUGGAAAGAUCUUCCCUGUCAGAAGUCUCCUCUUUGGAACUGAGCCAUGAAAUUGAGCCAUUCUUCCUCUUUUUCUGAGAUAUUUCAAUGCUCACGUGUACUGCAAAAAGGAACAUUUCUCAACCACAAGACAGUUGUUGUAGGUGUGGACAGAGCCCGUGAGUCCCAUUAAUUCCCAAGACUGCCUAUAUAAUACUAAUAAAGUUGUACAAUCCCCUUAAGCUAUGGGUGUCCUGAGCAUCAAAGCACAUACAAGAUGCACACCUACAAAAAAACACACGGAUUUCUGAAGCCUCAGGUUAAAUAUGUAUUACAUGGCUUAUUGACUUGGCUUAUUAUGCUCAGCCUAGUAAUUCUGUACCAUGCUGUGCAAUUAAAAAUGUCAAGCUGAUGGGGGAAGUUUCAACUAUCCUCAAAGAAAUAUUCACAGUGUGACUCAGAAUUGGCUUUGGGCAUGGGUAAAAUAGGAAAGAAAAUUGCUGGGGAGGCAGAUUAGCUGUAGUUUAGCUGAGUCUAUACCAUAGACUUGAAAAAUCCUUAAACAUGGGCUGAAUUUAAAUUGUUUGGUUAGAAUGGAUGAAUCCAAUCACACAGCAGAUGCUGUAAUUACAUGUCUCCAGGGACUGUAAUGGAGCUGGAGUCUGGCACUCUGGGCAAAUCUCUCAGCCUAUGCAGAACUCAGACACUAUGAAUUGCACUGCCCAUGCCUGUCUUGUAGACUGUGUGAAAAUGGCUGUUGUGAGUGUGAGGCUGCAGUAAGCCAUUUUAGUAACUUCUUUCGAGCUAGCAAUCGAACAGGAAAAAAAAUUGUGGUUUGUUAGGGAACUGUUGAGAAAAGCUGAAUUGUUUCUUUCUUUAGCCAUUAAACUUGAUUAGUAUAGUUAGGCAGAAGCAAAUACAGCAGUAAAGAGUUUAAAAAGUACUGUUCUCUGUAAUUUUCCAAAUUGCUUUCUUCCUUUCUGACUGUACCACUCUUUAGACUGUAUUUCAGAGACCACCAAUCAGUCUAAGUGCUUGCGGUUUGCCAGGAGGGGAGAGGUUCAGGGAGCACGUGGUGAACAGUGCCAUGUUAACAAUGAGAUGAGGGAUGUUUCAGGUGGGAGCACCUCCAGAGCUCCUUGAUGGAAAAGUGCACACAUUUCUUUAUGCACUUAUUUCAGUGCACUCACACCAAACUCUCUGGCAGGUAGGAAAGGCAGCCCUGGAGCUGCAUUUCAUCUCUCAUGGCUGUUACAUCAUAAGUCAGACAUAGCUAGGAUUAGAGGUGGAAUUAAGGAAAGAAAAAGGGAAGGAUCUUUGCCCUCCAACCCCAAGUCUUCUAACCAUCCUGUUGCUGUCAUACCAUAGUAGAGAUGGAUCAAGGCUGUACAGAAGUGCAAAUAAUGACAGCUUCUUUAGUUUUUUCUUGCAAGUCACAUCAUGAUCCAAAUGAUUUCAAAGGAAACGUACAUAGAAAGAAGACUGACCUUCAGCCAGAUGCUGUUCAGCCCUGUGUUUGCAGAAACAAAUGCAAUGAGGGUUGGCUCGAUGCUAGUUGUUUGCUUAUACAGGAUCUGUCAAGAACUGUUUGAACUGCCCUGUCCUAUUGAAGUAGCCGUGUGCCCUGCAGGGUGAAAUAAUAUUAAUCUUCAGCACUUCUUGGGUGUUUAACUUUUUAUUGGGGCUUCACAAAUUUGAACUGAGCUGCCGUCAUAACACUGAGAUGUGAAGUAGCGAGGUAAGACACCCAGUGCUGCCUUCCCCUUUAUACAGAUUGAUAGCACACACUCCCUCAGAAACGACAGUGUCAAAACAAGUCUCCCUGAUCGUAAAUCUUCACAGCGGUCUGAACGGAGUGCAACCGUGCUUUUCCACUGGUAAAAGUCUCUUGGGAACAACAACAGAAACAUGACUUUCUGCAGGUAAAAUGACCUUGAAAAACAGAAGCCCAGUGGAUACAGAGGAAUAUAUCUCUCAAAGUGCUUGCAGGAACAAAUCAGCCACAGAGCGGCAACAAAUGAAAGAGAAUGGAACAGCAGAGAAGGCCAUAAAGGUAGAGUUACACUGAGAGGUUCAGUCCUGCAAAGAUAUACAGCUGCAAAACUCUGCAAAGGGGACUACAGGUGGCAUAAUCCAACCCCUGUAGGCCCUCUGUGGCAGCCCGCCUAUUGGGUGCAGCUGUCAAAGCAGGCACAGAGGUAGACCUGAAGUCCAGGAUUGCGGUAGAUAGCAGGGCAUGUGCAUGGCAAAGGCUGAAAGAUGAGGUGAGGGAAAUCCCUUUCUGGAGUGAUUAAUAGGAACAGACAGUGUAAGCUGAAUCCUUCAGCCCUCUCUCUGUACUUUCACACCUGCAGAAAAAGCAUGUCCCAAGGUUCACAUUGGUGAUACUUGUCGGUAAGCGUAUUGGUAAAGUGUCUCAGUAUCAAACCACUGAGUUAAAUCUGUAGAAAACAGUGAUAGCUCUCUGUGGUGAGAGAGUUUCUGCUUUUGUGAUCUAGUCCAUAGUAGUUAUGCCCACAAGCAACCUAUCAGAUGUAAAGACACAGACAAAUAACAUAAAGUUUGAUUACAGUAGCUAUUUGAUCACUGUCUUAAAAUUGAAUUCUUGUCCUUAAAAUUCUUGUCCUAAUUUUAAGGGUCUGUCAUCUUCAAAGCAUUGCUGUUAAGACCAUCUGAAUAAGGUAAUUCCAGCAGCUCUGAAGAACUCACAGUAGAUAUUUGAAUGUUACUGAAGUGCAUAGUUAAAAUCAUUCUUCCCGUAACUGUGAUAGUGAACACUGCUGCAAAAACAGUGUUUAACUGUUGCUGAGCAUAAGAAAAGUGAUGCUGAUCAGUAACACAGGCUGCCUAUCCAUAAGCAAUUGGAAAGGGAACAUCUGCAUUUUGCUAGAAUGAAAGUUUAAUCUGAAUUCUCUCAGAACGUCCAACUGAGCUCUUUUUAACUUUUUUUGUUUGCACUGAAAAUGGAAUAUUCCUGAUCCUACUCAAUUAAUUCUUCUGUAAGUAAAUUUAAGAUUCAUCAAGGAUUCACCAGGAUCUGGGAGACAUGAGGUCCCGUAUCAGGCUCCUUAGGAAAUUAAUCCCUGGUUCCUGAGGAGUUUCUAGACAGGACUCUGCUUCUGUUUUCUUUCAUAGCAAAGCGGGGCUGAUAGGGAGCAGACAGACACCAGCUCUUUAUCUAAAUCACAUUACUGCUGUACCAGCAUGCAAGAGACUACCAUUUGCUCCCAUCAGACAAGUGGACCAAUUAAACUGGCAGAUUUUCCUGUUUGGAAAAAGCUGUUACCAAAAUUGUUUCUCUAAGGCUGUGCACUAAACGAGAUAAGUCCAUUGAGGCGGUGGGACUGCUGCCUUGUUGAGAUAUCGCUAUGUUGCUGCUGUGAGACCAUGGGACCUUUUUCAGCUCAUUUGUCCCUUUGCCAGUUUCCUUACACAUAAGGCCACUUCACUUUUCUUGCUGUGGCAUGCACUAGCUCUAGGAGACAGCGUUAUCAGAUAGCAUAAGCUGUAUCAUUAUAUUUAAUGCCGUACUUAAAAACCUGAUUCUCAAGUUAAGUGACUGUGUGGAAAUCUCAGCCCACUUAAAUAAUAACUAUUAACUUUAUCAGCCCUCACUGUUGUGAAGGAAAGCUCAAAAAAGCCCCAACUUCACAAGCCAAAAAGUAAGCCAAAAUAACUCCAUCUGUUCCAGCUUGUGUUUUCUGAAAGAAUAUAAAACAAAAUCCAAAUUUCCAUUAUGAAGUUGCAUGCUCUAAUUUUAUUUGUGUUUUCUUUCAUUUUUGAAGAAACCUCUUGAAAUGCAGAGGUCACUGUACCUGAAAAGUGGAGGCACUCUUACCUUUUAAUCACAAACUGCUGGUACCUGAAGAAAAAUGUACCUUCUUUCAAAACUGCCUACAUUUUGAAGAAUACUAAAGCAGACUAAUAUAUCUACAGACCUCAGUCGAAACAAAAUAUGGGACUUCUUCCUGGACACCUCACCCCUGAAAAAGGCAGACUGUCUCCAGAUGUGCUUUUGAAAGAAAAUAUCAGGACUGGCUUGGAAAAACUUUAAAGAAGAAGAACUCUUCCACAGAAUUUCUUCCUCUGAAGAAGAGCAGGCAGCCUCUCAUGGCAUCACCCAUGCCCACCUCUUGCCACAAUUCCACAUUUAUUGUUUCCAUGAGUUUCUUUUGCUUCCUCACUUUUCCAAUUCAGAAAUGUCACCUGGGAAGAACAUAAGCAUUCUCUGCUUUUGUCCAUGACUUCUGCCUUCCCAACAUCCAGAAAUCAGUGUGCUGUUCAGCAUACAUUCAAAAGUCUGUUUCUCUGGGUUGAUGAGUCGAUUUUAGUACACAGACGUCAUAGACCAUCUGAAUUUCUGCUGUGUUUGACAUGCUCAGAACAUCUAGUUCAAUAAGAACAAUCAGUGCCCGUUCUGCAGAUUUGAUACUACUCAAAUCUAUUAAGCCCAUUAGGUAUGUGCCUGCAAGUAGUUCUGUCAAGAAAUCCAUACAUUGCACCAGGCCCUGAAAUGGCCUUUUCCAAAAGUCAAUGUUUAAAACAGACUGAUUUUUUACUACCUCCCUAAGAGUAUGUAUGAAGAGAUAUGAGGUAUGAAGCCUCUUAGAGUCUUAAACGAAGCUGAGUUGAAUUCCAAAUGCACCAUCACCCUCACCUGCUAAUUUAUCUCCAUCUCAAAUCUGGUUAUAGAAAUUAACUCUUGGAGCAUUAAGCUCUUCCUCCUUUCUCCCCUGUGCUUCCUGUUUGCCCUGCCGUAUAAUGAGCAUAUUGCCACACCAGAAAAGUGUGUGGAGUGGUUCCUUUCUUUUCCAAGAACAGUCCUCCUUGACAUGAAAUAGUAUUUCUUGCCUUUAUUAUUAGAAAUGACACAGUUCACAAUAUCACCAAUCACAUUUUUGCCAGCAGGUGGCCAACUGUUUCUAAUUUGCUAAGUAUCCAAGAAUGUUUCAGCUACUAGAUCUAUUUCAAAUUUUCAUACUCAAACCCCAUCACUUUUGGAGAUUUUAAGGGCAGUGAAAACAUCUGGCAAGCUCAAGGCUGAAUAAUGACUUUUCCACAUCCUAGUUCAUUGUGCUGUGCUUCCCCCAAGAGUGGGAAGGACUAGAAUGAUAGAGUUGUCAGUUUUCAUUCCAUUUGACUCCCAGUAGCCCCAACAAACGUCAUCGGCUGAGCUCAUUCCCUUGUCACCAUUUCACAGAGACAAGGCUAAAGCUCUGCAAUGCCAUGGCACCUCUCUCUCUCCUGGGCCAUGAGCUCAGUAGAGGUAGACACUGGUGGAUGAAGAGUGUCAUGGGGAUACACGGGGUAGGUACCUCAUUCAAGCUACCCCAGCCAGUGGGCAUGUUUCCAGUCUUGCAUCACAGCACUUUCCCUGGCACAGUACGCUUUCUCACCUGAGGUCUCACUUGAGGUCAGAAGAAAAGUCACCUGAAAGAGCUGCCUCUGAGGGGAGAGAUGUUUCGGAAUUCAUCAUGAAGCUUAGUACCAGUACGCACUGGGAGGUGAGCAGGAGUUCUCCAGAGGUCACAUUGUCCCAGCAGCAUUCAGCAAACAUGCACAGUUGGAGAGAAAAAAAGCAGUUUUAUUCAGAUGCUCUCCUGAACACUUCAUGAGAUGCUGUGUCAUUCUUACAUCCAAAGGAUGGAACACCUCUCCACGAGGACAUGCUGAGAGAGCUGGGGCUGUUCAGCCUUGAGAAGUGAAGGCUCCAGGGAGUUCUGAGAGUGGACUUUCAAUAUCUAAAGGGGGCUGUAAGAAAGAAGACAAGCUCUUCAGCAAGAUGCGCUGUGAUGGAACAUGGGGGAAUGGUUUCAGACUAAAAGAGUUGAAGAGCAAGUGACAUUUACUGUGGGCUAAAAGACAGCUUUGUUCCAGACCAGAUGUCUCAUUCACUGUCCACAUGUCAGCCCUCCAAGCGCUGUAGUAGACUUAAGAAACAGCAAGUUCUGAGGCAGUUUUCAAAUAACAAGGUAAUGUCAAGGCAUUACUUAGACAAAACAACAAAACACUUUCUGUGCUUCAAUCAUAGCUUCUUUUUUCCCCCCAGACACUGGGUUAGAUUGUACUUUCUCUCACAUUGCUAUAACUGAGAACAACUCCCCUGACUUCAGAAGAAAACUUCCUGUCUGUGGUAGUAAGAGUGAAAUUUUAAACCAGUGCAUAGAUAUGCUGUGUAUCUGGGGGGCUUGGCUGGUUUAACACUUUGAUUCCCCAGCAACGUUGGCUUCAGGCUUGCCUGUCUCUGUUAUAGGGAAAGCAAAUCCGGGCUUUCAGUGAAUAAUGUAUUGAUUUCAGCAUCUAGGGGACAAAGUUUACUCCAGGGCUUCACAUAAACAUUAUAUUAGCUAGAUGUAAGCAGAAGAAAGUGUCCUUCCAUGGUUAAUCCCGCUGCUAAACCUCAUACAGAAUUAUUCUCCUCCAUAACCUUCAAGGUAAAUACUGUUCCAAGUGUCUGUUCUUAAUUCUCCUAAUGAGCAAUUCUUAGAAGAUAUUUUCUCAGACAUAAAAUGUUUAUGAUGAUUUUGAGGGAGAGAAAAAAAAUGUAUUACAUUUUCUGAAAAUUUUGCUUGUUUUGAAGACAAAAUGGGACCUGGAGGAAUGAAGACUGUCUCACUACAGUGGUCCAUUAAUCUGCUCAUCGUCACUCCGAAAAGCGACAGGGCACUGGGCCUGUAUGUUUCCACAGCUCAGUAAUGCCUAAUGACAACUGCACCAGCUGCCGAUCUACUGCAACACAUGAAUUAAAUGAAAAAGAAGAAACUUCAAGUUUACCUACUUAACAUGUGGGAUCAGAUCUUUGAGUGUGAGUCAACAUAGGAGAUGCAAGUGCUAAAAGCAGAGCAAGUAAAUACAGAAAUUUGCCAUAGAUUAAUGGCAUAAUAAUAUAUCUAACAAAAUUUGGUGAAGAUUUCUCCUGCAAAUGUUAUUAUGCUCCUUCAUUUCCCUUGGCUCAGAGUUCUGGCAAGACACACACGUUUUCCUUAACAUAACUUACAAAGAUUUAAGUUGUUCAGCCAAUACAUGCCUGUGUCUUGCCUUAGUUACAUGUGUAAUUUUUAGAUACCCAAACUUAAAAGAUAUGGAAAACUCAACACCAGUGAACUGAUGGUCACAAACAUGGUCCUAUGUUCAAAACUCUAUUUUCAAAUUCCCGACUGAGAUGACAAAUCUUAAGCAAGCUUGGACAUACAGUAAACCUACAGAGAAUUAUUUAUCUUUAGUCUAUGCUUCAAGUAAUUUCAGCUCCUCAUUGGCACAAGCAAUUAGACCGUACCUCAUGACUUACAUAUAUAACUGCCUAUCAGAUCACCUCAAAAUACCAAGUGGUCAGGACUUGAAGAUCUGUUGAGCUUGAAAAGCAGUAAGGAUCUGCUUUGCAUCUUCUCCCGUUCACCUAUCACAAAGGAACUGUAAUAUCUUCCUCUUUGCUGUUUUGGAUUUGUGAUGUUUGUUUUUUUUUUAGCAGUGACAUCCUGCUGUCACUGCAAAAAUGGGUCUUAAAUGUAAACCUCAAGUGUGUCACUUGAGUUUCUUCAGAAGUGGACAUUGUAAAAACCUUUGCUUAAGGAUCUGAGGUGCAGUGUAAAACAGUGCCAUUUUGGAGUUGUAGUUCUGGCCCGAUGCUAGAUGAAAAUAAAGAUUUCUCGUUAAAAAGUUGCAACUCCAAAAUAUUUAUAACAGAACCAAAAGGUAAAAGAAAUUCUCAAACAAUGCCACCCACCCUCAAAACUAUAAAAGUUCAAAAAAAAAUAACAAACCCUAUGGAAGAUAAAAUACAUAUAUAUUACUAUCCUCUCUAAAAGCUCAUCCUCUUGGUACAGAAGAGUAAACUUCUAGUAUUGGAUAAUAAAUCUCAGUCACAAACAGCUUUUACGA